ncrna:s2m RNA from (PDB 1XJR, chain A)
GAGUUCACCGAGGCCACGCGGAGUACGAUCGAGGGUACAGUGAAUU